CUAAAUAAAGUAGGAUUCAAGAAAAGUUCAAACAAAUAGAGUUUAGUUAUUAUACUUCACUGUACCUCUCUCUGUUAUGAAUUUCUCGCCAGUCACAGCGAUCGUCCUCUCAAAUGGCAUAUUUCCCCACAAAUUCUAAUGGGUGGGUGAUGAUCAUUUAUACAAUGUGUGUCAAUGUUUUUUUAGGCCGUCUUUGAGUGAAGUUUGAAAACGUAUGUUAUAUUUAGUUAUUUAUUUUAGCAUAAUAUGUAAUUUUCAUUUAUUGUAAGUUUCCUAUUAUUUUUAGGUUUCCUUGUAGUAGUAUAAAACCUGUUUUAUACUUUCUUUGAAAACUCAAUUGAUGGCUUAAUAGAUUUUGGUU